GUGAAUCAUCGAAUUUUUGAACGCACACUGCACUCUCUGGUAUUCCGGAGAGUAUGCCUGUUUGAGGAUCAGUUUAAAUAAACAUCUGUGUGUUUGGUGCCUUUCGUGGUGACGCACCGGGUUUGGGUCGUCUUGCCUUCGGGUACGUGAGCUGGAAUUUACCAUGAGUUUUAUCGAACGUAUUUAAAUGAUUUUACGUACGUUUGCGAUCUCGUAUACUAGGGGUUGUCAUUCUCAUGAUUCGCGGCUAGCAUUUUUCAUCAUAAUGAACUCAAAUCUGGUCAGAGUA
rnacentral:misc_RNA from 1 species